UAUUUUUUAAAUUAGGGUCUAAAAUUUUUAGAUUUUUAUGGACAAGUGUUUCACUUUUCAAUAUUUUUCGGUCAUCACCACCCCGGAAUCCCGCGAUGUUCCGGCAACCCAAAAAAACCGCUUUAUUUUCCCAAUUAUCCGGCGAAAACCCCUCUGCACAUCCCUCUGCUCAAUAACCCAAAAAAAAACCCUUUAUUUUCCCCAUUAUCCGGCGAAAACCCCUCUGAACAUCCCUCUCCUCAAUCUCGCCCCUUCCCUCUCCCUUUUUCCCUCCUUCCAGACACCUUUCACGCCCCCUCUCUCUUUUUCUUCCUUUACUCUCCCCUUCCUCUCCUCUCCUCCACUCUUCCCCCUCUUUCAUUGCUCCUCUCCCUAAUUUUCCCUUUCUCGGCUUCUCCCUCUUCCUCCUCUUUCUCUUCCUUCUCCGUCCGACCAUCAGACCUCCCAAACAACUGCUAAACUACCAGAAAACAACCACCAAAUCCCCAUCGGAAGACAACCAAAACAGACCCUUCUCCAUUUUCCCGUCAAAAUCACCACCGAAAACACCACACCUCGAAACCUCCAAUGCUCCGACCAUCGAUGUUCCUCGCGCCAAUCCACCGGCAAAUGCUGUUGAACAACCCAAUGCAGCCACGCAUUGAAACCACCAGGCAGCACGCUCCGGCGAACAACAACAGCAAGUACCAGAGCCGCAACUCCACCAGUGAGCUCUUUCUUUGGGCAAAAUAUGAUGAUAACUGAGCUAAUGGGAUAACAGGUAAAAAUGGAGGAUGAAGAAAUAACCGUCGAUUUCCAAGGCCUUCCAUGUUCUUAAGACAGAUUUUUAUUAUUAAAUUAUCAUUUGAUUAAUUCAUAUCUAUUUAUUUAUUACUAACACUUUUUACUAAGUGUGUUUAUAGGUGCACAGAGUUGUUUCUCAUGAAGUCAUUCGAAAAAGCUCGAAUUAUUUUUUUAUUUCAUUAUUAUAUAAAUAUUGACGUUAGGCAAACCUUUGACCGAUAAUUAUUAUUUUAUUUUAUUGUGUA